rnacentral:hammerhead_ribozyme from 1 species
ACCCAGCUGACGAGUCCGACAUAGAACGGAACGUGCGUCCUGGAU